CACUUGCCUAAUGCGUAGUCGUCAGGGAGACAAAGGUGUGACCCUUGGUAACGGGCGAUUAGUUCUAAUCGCCCGCUCUAGCGGGCGAUUAGAACUAAUCGCCCGCUACAGCGGGCGAUUAGUUAGUAAUCGACCCUGUUGAAACAAAAGAAACCCGGGCAACUAUGCUAUUACACUAAUAAACGGUUUGCUUUUUUAUUUUAAAUUCCAGAAGCAGAAGUUUAUGCACCUGU